AUUGAACGCUGGCGGCAUGCCUUACACAUGCAAGUCGAACGGUAACGCGGGGCAACCUGGCGACGAGUGGCGAACGGGUGAGUAAUGUAUCGGAACGUGCCCAGUAGUGGGGGAUAGCCCGGCGAAAGCCGGAUUAAUACCGCAUACGACCUACGGGUGAAAGAGGGGGAUCGCAAGACCUCUCGCUAUUGGAGCGGCCGAUAUCAGAUUAGGCAGUUGGUGGGGUAAAAGCCUACCAAGCCGACGAUCUGUAGCUGGUCUGAGAGGACGACCAGCCACACUGGGACUGAGACACGGCCCAGACUCCUACGGGAGGCAGCAGUGGGGAAUUUUGGACAAUGGGCGCAAGCCUGAUCCAGCCAUGCCGCGUGCGGGAAGAAGGCCU
rnacentral:rRNA from 1 species